AUUGAACGCUGGCGGCAGGCUUAACACAUGCAAGUCGAGCGGAUGAGUGGAGCUUGCUCCAUGAUUCAGCGGCGGACGGGUGAGUAAUGCCUAGGAAUCUGCCUGGGAGUGGGGGACAACGUUUCGAAAGGAACGCUAAUACCGCAUACGUCCUACGGGAGAAAGUGGGGGAUCGUCGGACCUCACGCUAUCAGAUGAGCCUAGGUCGGAUUAGCUAGUUGGUGAGGUAAAGGCUCACCAAGGCGACGAUCCGUAACUGGGCUGAGAGGAUGAUCAGUCACACUGGAACUGAGACACGGUCCAGACUCCUACGGGAGGCAGCAGUGGGGAAUAUUGGACAAUGGGCGAAAGCCUGAUCCAGCCAUGCCGCGUGUGUGAAGAAGGUCUUCGGAUUGUAAAGCACUUUAAGUUGGGAGGAAGGGCAGUAAGUUAAUACCUUGCUGUUUUGACGUUACCAACAGAAUAAGCACCGGCUAACUUCGUGCCAGCAGCCGCGGUAACAC
rnacentral:rRNA from 1 species